rnacentral:misc_RNA from 1 species
GGGCUAUUAAAAUAGAAGUUACAGGUUGAAAUUAUGAUUAAACGUUAUUUAAAAAUCAAAUUAAAUAGAGUAUGUUAGUUUGUCUUCGGCUUCUUAAUGGGAUUCAACAUGGAUGACAAAGACAUGGACGAGCUUAUCAGACAAAUGUUGCAGAAACCUUCCAACAUUUCCCAUCCGGCCUCGCAUACUACAAACGGGUCGUUUGACAUGACCAACGGCACGGGCGCCGGCGCAAACGGGUCGUUUGACAUGAACAACGCCACGGGCGGCGCCUCAAACGGACCGCUGGAUCCGUUGAACAACGAGACUUUGAUCAGAGAAAAGUUGAGCAGCUACUUUCUGCAGCAAAUGCUGGAGACGGAGAACCAGAAAGAUAAAGAGACAACAGCUGCAGCCAGUGCGCAGGUGCAAGCGCCUACAACUGCGCCACAAAAUGGUGCCGGCAGCGAUGUCAAAGUCGAUCUCAGUCUCCCUGAUGUUGAAAAUCUUGUGAAGCUACUUCUUCAAAAUGUGAAAGUCUCCAAUCAAGAUAAGUCAGCCCUGGAAGAAGAGAAAGCGAAGCGCAGAGCAUUGGAAUUAGAAGCCGAAGAAAUGAGACAGAAGAUCAAGAUGUUUGAGCGGUUGUCUCAACCAACAGAAGCUGCUGCAGUUCAAAAGAAAUUAGAUGCAUUCCAGGUCAACUAUUUAAAUUCGAACAAAACAGGAGAUUCCAUGCAGGCCACAAUGUCCAAAUAUAUUAAGGACCUGAUGUUAAAAGAUCAAUUGUCAAAGAAGAAGCUGUUCAGUGAUCCAAAAUGGUUUCCGGGAAGCAGCAAGGAUGCUGAACAGUCGAACACCAACCCUGGUAAAGACAAAGACAUGUUCAAGGAAAUGCUCAGAAAUCCACACAACCCCAUGCAGCCUGGUCCUUCAGGGCAGUUCCAUGGUGGUCCCAUGUAUAUGCCACAUGGAAUGCCUUACCAUGGGAAUGCUCCACCAUUUCAACAGAAUUUGCACCCAAUGGGACAUGGCGGGGCUCAUGGUAUGUAUCCUCAGCAGCCGCCUUACAUGAGUGGAUAUGGUGCACCACAUGGCAAUAUGUGGCAUGGGCCUCCACAUCCUGGAUAUCAGGGACCCAGUGUACCACAUCCUGGAUAUCCUGCACAGGGAGGGCCACACCCUGGAUAUCCGGCCCAGGGAGGACCAUUUCCUGGUCCAAAACAAGCGAUGCCACCUCAACAAGAGUCAAAGAAGAAACAGAAACAAGUUCAGCCUCAACCACAGAAUCCUCCAAAACAAAAGCAGCAGCAACAACAAAAUCAACCCAAGCAAAAACAACAACAGAAUCAACAACAAAAUCAACCCAAGCAAAAACAACAACAAAAUCAACCCAAGCAGAAACAACAACAACAACCAAACCAACAACAGAAUCAACCAAAACAAAACCAGGCACCAAACAAUCUGAAUGUUCCUCAAGGAGAGGGAAAGAAGAAGAAGAACGCCCAAAACCAGGAACAAAACAAAAAUGGUGCCCAGCCCAAACUAACAGUUCCGGUAGGAUCUUGUGUUACUCUUUCUCCCAACUCUUCAACUUCAGUGGCAGCUGCACAAAAUGGAGGCUCAAAAUCCAGCUCUGGCAUCAAGUUGACCCAGGAUGAGAUCAACAAACUGAAACAAUCGAUUCAGAUGAUGGACGCUCAGGCGGCUGCCACAGGCAAGAAGAAAAGAAACAAGAAGAAGAAGAAAGCAGGAGGUGAAGAGGGGGACGAUAGUGGAAGUGGCGGCGAAGGGGGGGAUAAGAGCAACAACUUGUCAAAGGAGGGAGGUGGUUGUGGAGGAGGAGGAGGAGAAAUGGUGAUGAAUGAGCUGGGUGGAGGAGGAGGAAAGAAGAAGAACAACAACAAUGUGGUGGAACAGAAGAAGAAGGAUGAGAAGGAGGAGGUGUUGGAGCAACCGGUAGCUGCACCAGGAGAAGGCAAAAAGAAGAAUAAAAAGAAGAAUGCUGGAGCUGAUGGAAAUCAGGCAAAUCCUGAUUUUGCACUGUAUGUUGGAGAUCGUUGGCCAUCUGUGGCUGACGUUGAGGCUGGACGUUUGCAGCUGGAUCAACCAGUCAAGAACAUUUUAAUGGUGGAUAAGACGGUGAAUGGAAAUGUGUGUUCCACUCCAAAGACAGUUCAAGACAUGCUGAUAUUCCAUAAGCUGCAUCCCACCGCUGUACUUGUCUUCACCAGUGAUUAGGUCAAUGACCUUUCACCCAUGUCAAGGUCGUAUCAAUUAACAUCACUACUGUAGUCAGCCUCCAGGGCUCAGGAGAACUCGCUCAAAAUAGUUCAAGAUGAUUGCAUACAAUUGAUGAUCAAGCUGGCAGCUUAUUUGUGACUUGUGAUUGACUGCAUGCAAUUAAUAAUCCAGCUAAAAUAAUUGUAUCUCAAACUUACAUUUGUGAUGUUUGAUGAUGAAGUACUUCACAAAUUUUUCUAUCCACUUUCAAUGUUAUCCUAUUUUAAUCUUGAGGGUCACUUUCUCCAAAAAGCUGAACUAAUUUGUAUAACAUUUAUAAGGAACAACUGAUUUAUGUAAAUAGAUUUUUUAUGAAUUCUUUAAUAGGCUAUCAUUUCAGUUUUGAUUUCAAAGACACAACAUUUAUUUCUCAAUAUACAUUUUUCUAGUGUGAGAACUUUGAAUUUUCGCUGGCAGUAAGCCUUUGCGUGUUAAUAAUUUGAAGUUGGUUGAACGCAAUAGAAAUAUGUUGUAGAACAUACAAACAAUCUCAGAAACGGAAGAUUCGAGUCUCAAAGUAAAAAGUAACAACACGCUACACUCAUUCACUUGAAAUUUAUAUUUUGUCUGGGAUUUUCCUCCCAGGAGAGUACUUUUGGAUUUACCCUGUCCGACUGGUGGCAUUUCGCGAGCCUGCACUGGUUCAUCAGUGACAUCAGUCCAAGUUAAUUUACUUUAUUUUACUUGUUCGUCAUAUUGAACUGCAUUAAGGAAGCAACGCACCCGCAGUAUAUGACACGUCAAAGUAAUGACAAUUAAUCUAAUAUAUAUAUUUAUAUUACUAAUAACCUUCAUCUAUCAAUCACAACAGAAAAGAGAACACAACCGAGAACACAUAACAUACAUUAAGCAAAAUUCAACUAACAAGGAAGUCUGCUAAUUUGUAUGGUCACAAUACAGUAAGGAAUUCCCUGAGUGUAUUUUUAACUCCCUCAAGCCCUCAAUUUCUCUGAUGUGAGAUGGGAGUGAAAUUAAUAUUUUCAUUCCCAUAUAAAACGGGCCACUCUCCAGCAGACAAAGUCUAUGAGGUGGGUAAACAAUACCUUUAAAUCUUGUAUUUUGGGGAUGACUCAACUGGUUCUCUUCAUUUACCCGUCUAUUUUUGAAAACGAAGAUUGCUAAAUCAAAUAUAUAAAUAGCAGGAGCUGCUAGCAAUUUCUUUUCUUUAAAAUAAGGCCUGCAAGAAUAUCUUCUAUUAAUCUUAUAAAUUAUCCUCACGGAUACUCUCAAAGCAAACAAGGCUCUAUUCAACUAGUGACCUUAGAAAUAUGUAGCUUCCAUUUCGAAUCACUCUCCACCAUCAAACCCAAGAAUGCUGUGGAAUCAAAAGUUUCAAUUUUAGUCUACUCUGAGUUACAGCUCGGCUCUUCCAUAGCACAAACAUCCUGCCGGACUCCAAUUGGCAUCACGUUCGUAGAACUACAUCUUCUUCCUGCAGUGUACUCUGUCGGUCCAUGCAGGCGAUUGCUGCUUGUCGCUUGUAUCGUAGUACACAUAAAAUAGGUCGUACUUAUAAGUUGGAUCAAAGUCAAUAGGACCUUCAUAAAAAAUUAAAAGAACUCUCCAAGCUCGUUGCUGCUUCUGCAACUGCUCGUGAGCUCAUGUCAACGCGCUAGUUGAAAUCGCAGCACCAAAUUACAUCAUCAUGACAGUUUGAAGAUCGUCCAAAAAAUGGCAUUUUUCUGAUUAUUUCGGCGUAGUCAACGUUUCUUUCUGCUACUUGUGAUUGACUUAUUGGCGAAUUGCUUAUUAGAUUUCCAGUCUUUUGAUAUAUGGUGGAAGAAUGUUGAAGAGUGUAACAGGAAGGCAUUCAGUCUCAGCUUGUCUCGGACAUCCGGAAAUUGUUUAGUACCCAUUCAAUGUCAUAUCAAUCACACGGAUGUGGCCACUGUCUAACCAAACAGAGGCAACAUACUCUGCUGCAGUGCACAGAGUCGCAGCUUUUAUAGUAGCAGCUACAUUAGUCUUUAGAGGAUAUUCGAGCUUCGUCCCCUGCAACCCCGGUGUGGUAGGUUGGCAGCAUCCGCGCUUCACCUAGGAGGUGGGUUUCGCCCGCUCAAUCGCUCUCUAAAACUGUAGAGUUGUGGGUAGCAGCCUCCGCGCUUAGGCUGGGAGGCGGGAUUGCCCUCCCAAUCACCUGUUAUAUCUAUACAGCUGUGGGUAGCAGCCUCCGCGCUUCGUGCUCCUUUUUUCUCCCUGGUUUGUUCAGGACACAUGUUUUCCCGGGUUCUGAAUCCUAUUAUGACUUAGAAAAUGCAGUAAAUUUCAUAUUUUUUGCAAAAGUCCACCCUCCCCCCAUAGAAUUAACUUUCGCCUGAAGUUUGCUCUCAGUCUCUGCAAUGACAAUACCAAUGACGCUGCAAGGACAAUAAUAUCGGCAUAAAUUAAUUUUUCACACCUGGUGGGAGAACUUUCUAUACCUGUAUGUUUAUUUAACGACCGCAUUGAGUUCUUACCGAUGACUGAAGUUGUUCUCCGUUUGUGGGUUUGUUCGACGAUUACUUUGUUUGCUUUCUUCAAAUAACUUGAAAUUUCAAUCAAAUCAAAUCAUAUUCUUUGAACCAUUAUAAUGCUGUACAGAUUGAGAUCGUUGGUCAACGAAAUUGAGCCGAAUGAAUAAAGAGUGAGCCAAGUCUAUCAAGUAUUCAAACUGCGAGUAAAUAAAUGUGAAUAAAGUUCCGAGUUGAGUCCAAACGGUUUCCUUGCUAGAUUGCAGAGAUGGAAGUAAGUGCUCGGUAGCCCGGAUAUUCAACUUUUGUAACAUCUGUUAUUCGACUUUCACUUUUGAAAAUGUGAAUUUAACAUAAACACUAUUGGACUGAUUAGCGGUCAGUUGUCUCUUGAUGCUGAACGAGAAUUCACUAGUCCUAAUCUAAAGUAAAAUGUGGCUGAGAUUGAUCAAUAGCAAAUGGAAUGAUUAUUCGAUUAUAUUAAUGUAAAAUAUGAGUGAGAUUGAUCAAUUU